ACACCUCUCAGCCUGCGGUGGUUAGAAGUUGAUUGGUUAAAUCUGCACCCAGGGCUAAGGCUUUUGCGUUCCCUAAUCUCUUAGAUGUGCUUGGAGCCCUUUCCUACCUUUCAAAAUACUCAUGCUCAGAUGCCACUUUCUCCAAGAUACGCACUGUAGUUAUGUUUCAUCCAUUAUUCCUGUUGAUGCCUACGAGGUCCUAGGCACUUUACAUAACAAGCUUUAAAGAUAGGCAUUUCUGUCUGCCUUACAGGCUCAGCAGCAGCAAAGUUUGCUAAUUUGCUAGAAGUCACGGAGGUGGGACCCCAACCCCCUAUGUCAGCCCCUACGCUCUACAUUGCCUGCCAAGCUGUCUCUAAGGGUACAUGAGCAUGAGAGCAAAACAGGGCAACUCCGUUCAGAUGAGAAGAGCGGCAGAGGAAGCUUCAGGAGUACCUUGCAGCCAAGGGAAAACUGAAGAGCCAAAACACCAAGCCUUAUCUAAAAUCCAAGAAUAAUUGCCAGAAUCCACCACCUUCUAAAUCUACUGUUAGACCCAAAAAUGAU
rnacentral:sRNA from 1 species